rnacentral:rRNA from 1 species
GACGAACGCUUGCGGCGUGCCUAAUACAUGCAAGUUGAGCGCUGAAGGUUGGUACUUGUACCAACUGGAUGAGCAGCGAACGGGUGAGUAACGCGUGGGGAAUCUGCCUUUGAGCGGGGGACAACAUUUGGAAACGAAUGCUAAUACCGCAUAAAAACUUUAAACACAAGUUUUAAGUUUGAAAGAUGCAAUUGCAUCACUCAAAGAUGAUCCCGCGUUGUAUUAGCUAGUUGGUGAGGUAAAGGCUCACCAAGGCGAUGAUACAUAGCCGACCUGAGAGGGUGAUCGGCCACAUUGGGACUGAGACACGGCCCAAACUCCUACGGGAGGCAGCAGUAGGGAAUCUUCGGCAAUGGACGAAAGUCUGACCGAGCAACGCCGCGGGAGUGAAGAAGGUUUUCGGAUCGUAAAACUCUGUUGGUAGAGAAGAACGUUGGUGAGAGUGGAAAGCUCAUCAAGUGACGGUAACUACCCAGAAAGGGACGGCUAACUACGUG